AAUCACCAUUGGCAAAACCAUGGAGUAUGAUUGAAGGAUUUGAUUUUUUUGAGCCACCGAGCGCCCCCUGGUGGAACUUAUGUAAUAGAGUAACAGUGCCUUUGUGUACCUUUAAGGUAGCUUGCACACUUCCGUAUUAAAUUUCUUUAAAGCGUGACACUGUCCGCCAGCUCCGUAAAAAAGUACUCAAGCACAGUUCCCAUGCAAGACAUGUGUUUGUGUUUUAUAUGCACUUUAGUGUCAGGUGGAUCAGACAGCAUGUAACAAAUGUGUGUGGCAGGUUAACAGUCAGUCCUCUAUCACACACAGUCCAGAAACACAGUCUUUAGGUCAAGGUCACUGGUUGAUAGAAGCACUGGGGACCCAAUUAUAGCACUUAAACAUGGAA